UACGUAGGGGGCAAGCGUUGUCCGGAAUCAUUGGGCGUAAAGAGCGUGUAGGCGGCCAGAAAAGUCCGCUGUGAAAACUCGAGGCUCAACUUCGAGCUGUCGGUGGAAACUUUCUGGCUAGAGUCCGGAAGAGGAGAAUGGAAUUCCUGGUGUAGCGGUGAAAUGCGCAGAUAUCAGGAGGAAUCCCGGGGGUGUAGACGGCUCCGGGGACCGCCACUGACGCUGAGACACGAAAGCGUGGGUAGCAAACAGG
rnacentral:rRNA from 1 species